AGCGAACGCUGGCGGCAGGCCUAACACAUGCAAGUCGAACGAACUCUUCGGAGUUAGUGGCGGACGGGUGAGUAACACGUGGGAACGUGCCUUUAGGUUCGGAAUAACUCAGGGAAACUUGUGCUAAUACCGAAUGUGCCCUUCGGGGGAAAGAUUUAUCGCCUUUAGAGCGGCCCGCGUCUGAUUAGCUAGUUGGUGAGGUAAAGGCUCACCAAGGCGACGAUCAGUAGCUGGUCUGAGAGGAUGAUCAGCCACAUUGGGACUGAGACACGGCCCAAACUCCUACGGGAGGCAGGAGUGGGGAAUCUUGCGCAAUGGGCGAAAGCCUGACGCAGCCAUGCCGCGUGAAUGAUGAAGGUCUUAGGAUUGUAAAAUUCUUUAAACGGGGACGAUACUGACGGUACCCGGAGAAGAAGCCCCGGCUAACUUCGUG
rnacentral:rRNA from 1 species